AUUAAAACGACUUAAAUUAUAGAGCAGCAUUUGAAACCUCUUUGAAGGCAACCAGAAGUCCCAGAUGCUCUACUCCAACUCCGACACGUUUUAGUCGUCUAGAGUAGUAACAUAACGGCCAUAUGUUAUGCAAAAGCUGUGGUAA
rnacentral:ribozyme from 1 species